rnacentral:rRNA from 1 species
UACGUAGGGGCCUAGCGUUGUCCGGAUUUAUUGGGCGUAAAGAGCUCGUAGGCGGUUCGGCAAGUCGGAUGUGAAAUCUCCAACGCUCAACGUGGAGGGGCCAUUCGAAACUGCCGUGACUCGAAGUCCGGUAGGGGAGUGUGGAAUUCCCGGUUGUGAGCGGUGAAAUGCGCAGAUAUCAAGGAGGAACACCGAUGGCGAAGGCAGGUCUCUGGGCAUUAACUGACGCUGAGGAGCGAAAGCAUGGGGAGCGAACAGG